GACAGAGGUGCCGAGCGUUAGGCGGAAUCACUGGGCUUAAAGCGUGUGUAGGCGGGUCGUUAAGUGCCUUGUGAAAUCCCACAGCUCACCUGUGGAACUGCUUGGCAUACUGGCGAUCUUGAGCCACUUAGGGGCAACCGGAACAAACGGUGGAGCGGUGAAAUGCGUAGAUAUCGUGUGGAACGCCAAUUGUGAAAACAGGUUGCUGGGAGUGCGCUGACGCUGAGACACGAAAGCCAGGGGAGCAAACGGG
rnacentral:rRNA from 1 species